rnacentral:rRNA from 1 species
GCGGAGGGAUCAUUAAAGAGUUCUAUAACUCCCAAACCCAUGUGAACAUACCUAACGUUGCCUCGGCAGGUCGCACCUACCUUGUAGCACCCUACCCUGUAGGGCCUACCCGGGAGGUGCGGGUAAGCCUGCCGGCGGCCCACCAAACUCUGUUUGAUAUUGAAUUCUGAACCUAUAACUAAAUAAGUUAAAACUUUCAACAACGGAUCUCUUGGUUCUGGCAUCGAUGAAGAACGCAGCGAAAUGCGAUAAGUAAUGUGAAUUGCAGAAUUCAGUGAAUCAUCGAAUCUUUGAACGCAUAUUGCGCCCAUUAGUAUUCUAGUGGGCAGGACCGUUCGAGCGUCAUUUCAACCCUUAAGCCUUCGUUGCUUAGUGUUGGGAGCCUACGGCAACGUAGCUCCUCAAAGUUAGUGGCGGAGUUGGUUCACACUCUAGACGUAGUAAUUUUUUAUCUCGCCUAUUAGUUGGACUAAUCCCCUGCCGUAAAACCCCCAAUUUAUCAAGGUUGACCUCGAAUCGGUUCAGACAAACUCGCUAAAUUGAAGCAUCUUAGUCAGCGAAGGAAAAGAAACCAACAGGGAUUGCCCUAGUAACGGCGA